GAGUCGCUGCGCGACAAGGUCGACGUGCGCGUCGUGUUCCUCGAUGCGAACGACGCGGUGCUCGUGCGCCGGUUCGAGUCCGUGCGGCGCCC
rnacentral:tRNA from 1 species